rnacentral:pre_miRNA from 1 species
AGGCCGGAGAUCGUCAAUGGAGAACGCUUCAGCUUUGCGAGCAUCCUCUGUGGGACAAUCUUCUUUGGCAAGAUGGUCGCGAAACUUCCGGAGUCGAUUUCUAC